rnacentral:rRNA from 1 species
AGUGAACGCUGGCGGUAGGCCUAACACAUGCCAGUCGAACGGCAGCACAGUAAGAGCUUGCUCUUACGGGUGGCGAGUGGCGGACGGGUGAGGAAUACAUCGGAAUCUACUUUUUCGUGGGGGAUAACGUAGGGAAACUUACGCUAAUACCGCAUACGACCUACGGGUGAAAGCAGGGGAUCUUCGGACCUUGCGCGAUUGAAUGAGCCGAUGUCGGAUUAGCUAGUUGGCGGGGUAAAGGCCCACCAAGGCGACGAUCCGUAGCUGGUCUGAGAGGAUGAUCAGCCACACUGGAACUGAGACACGGUCCAGACUCCUACGGGAGGCAGCAGUGGGGAAUAUUGGACAAUGGGCGCAAGCCUGAUCCAGCCAUACCGCGUGGGUGAAGAAGGCCUUCGGGUUGUAAAGCCCUUUUGGUGGGAAUGAAAAGCAGCAGGUUAAUACCCCGCUGUUCUGACGGUACCCAAAGAAUAAGCACCGGCUAACUUCGU